GUUCUGGGCGGUGGGAGGUCAGGUAGUGAGGCGUGAGUGAGGCGUGAGUGAGGCGGCAACUGGGCAAGCGCGCAACCCAGAGCCAUGCCUUCCGAUAAAGGAAAGGGCCGCCUACGUAAGCUAAGACGACGAGGAGUGAGGCGAGGAACCGAAAAGCAGGAAGAUUCUGAAGCAAAUGACCCUGUGGAGAGUCAGCCUCCCAAGGAGCAGCCAAAAAACAUGAGUCCCGUCGUAGAGUCCAACAUAGCGGCCCUGCGCCACCCUGAGAAGAGGCCUCCCACCCGGCGGCAGCGGGCGGCCCGGCGCCAAUCUGAGCUCAGGACGUGGGCCUUCAGGGUCUUCUUGGUGUUAAUACUGUUCAUUUGGGGGCUGUUGCUGCUGAGCUGCUUUAAGUUUGGACUUACGGAAUCGGUAUCUCCAACUGAAGUUACCCCAGGGGAAGUUAAUGGCCAGUCUCUGAAAAAAACACUUAUGGAAAUCCUGUACAAGUUUUUCUUUCCAACAACCUGCACUGUAAAGGAGAACCAAGAGGUAAAGGCUUGCAACGGGCUGCUGAACCCUACUGAGUUGGAGUGUUUGACAUCCAAAUGCUGUUUUUCACCUGGGACCGGGACCUGCUUUAUCCCAUUAAUAAAUAAGCCUGUGCAGAUGAUCCGGCUAUUUGGGCUUUGUAUGAGCAGCUUGUUACUCCUGGGAAGUCUGCCCAUUUGUUGCUGCUGUCUUUGGCAGAGGAGCAAAUACGCCAAUUCUUUACGUAUGAAAAAUGAAAGAAUUUUGGAGGGUGUGAAGAAAGAAAGAGAGAAACUGAAGGGGGGUACCGAAGUGUCAGCAACAACAACAGAAGAAGAGGAUGGUAAUGAAGAUGAGAAGGAAAGUGAAGCAUUGCUUUCCCGUUGAGUUGAGUGCACACCUUCCAGAGCAGAGGAGACUGUCCCAGUUGUCCAAGCCCGACUGUUCAUUUUAGAAAGAUAGAAAUUUGUUGUUUUUGUCUUUACCCUCAAGUAUAAAAUAAAGUUCACAGUUCUGUUUUUAUGCACCAAACAAGAAUCCAGAUUAUUUCUGUUAAACGUAGUUUCUAUAGAAUUUUUAAAAAUAUG
rnacentral:lncRNA from 1 species